rnacentral:tRNA from 1 species
AGCACAGUGGCGCAGUGGGGGCGUGCUGGGCCCGCAACCCAAAGGUCCGUGGAUCGAAACCACGCUCUGAUA